ACACACAUGAAUAUUAGACUAGCACAUGUAUUAGUUGAUGACUAUGUUUCACAAGUCAUGGACAUGGAGAUGUUGAACUAAUAAUGUGCACACAUGUGGAGACAUGUGCUAGGACUGACCCAACACGAGAAGUAGUUCUCUCUUUAAACAACAUAUACGCUUUGUCCUUAGACCUGAGAUUGUCGCAUGUAUUCUAUAUGUGGAUCGACCUACUUAGGGGCUAUCCAAC
rnacentral:lncRNA from 1 species